CAGGUUCUGUAGUCAACUGCACUUGGUCACUUCCUGCUCUGUCGGGUCAUUUGAUCUUCUCAGUUCCACUCGGGCAUACUCUUUCAUAGGCUCGACACAGGUUGUGACGUCGGGUCCUCUCUUCUCUUCAUGAAUCUCAGUUGGAAGCCCCCAUUUUCAUCAGACAUCCAAUGAAGUAGGAGCUCGCUCCCUACCUAGCCGGGUCCUCUCUUCUCUUCAUGAAUCUCAUUUGGAAGCCCCCAUUUUCGUCAGACAUCCAAUGAAGUAGGAGCUUGCUCCCUACCUAGCGGUACUUCCAUGGCUUGCCUCUCGAGGUCCUGUUUGAAAGGCAGUUGCGAGAACCUGUCUGGAUUGAGUGGUCCUU
rnacentral:lncRNA from 1 species